rnacentral:rRNA from 1 species
UACGUAGGGUGCAAGCGUUGUCCGGAAUUAUUGGGCGUAAAGAGCUCGUAGGCGGUCUGUCGCGUCGGAUGUGAAAAUCCAGGGCUCAACCCUGGACCUGCAUUCGAUACGGGCAGACUAGAGUUCGGUAGGGGAGACUGGAAUUCCUGGUGUAGCGGUGAAAUGCGCAGAUAUCAGGAGGAACACCGGUGGCGAAGGCGGGUCUCUGGGCCGAUAUUGACGCUGAGGAGCGAAAGCGUGGGGAGCGAACAGG